UCUCUCUACAAUUGAGGCGGUUAUCGCCGGUCAUCUUCUUCGAUCUUCUGUUUCUACCGAUGAUUCUCUGUUUUAGUGAGAUCUAUUGCCAGGUGUGUGUAGAUUUCGCCGAAAACCAAAGAUCACAUCAUUCCAGAGGGCGAAGGCAAAAGUUCGAAAAAGAAGAGAAAAGAGGCUGCUUUUGAGCUGAUCAAGUCAUAUUCCAACCGGAGCCAGCCAACCUUGCGCUGGAGAGAAGACUAUGAACUCCACUCUAAGGUGUGAAGGGCAAAAGCGUCACUUCAAGGGGGGUGGCACCCUAGGGAUCAGAGCCCUACGCCUCCCUAUAUAAAGGAGCCUUGCACACUAAAAGAAGGGAGUUCCCCCACAUUUCAUUUCUUGCUUAGUAGUUUAGGGGGGUUCUCUUUAGAGUAGGUAGGAUUUCUAGCUCUCUUCCAGAGCUGAACUCAAAGUUCUCUUCAAUUCCAAGCUUUUCAAUCUCUCGCACACACUUGGUUCCUUCUAGAGUAGCUGGUAGUUAGCUAUUAACCUUGCUUUCCUCGCACAAUUUACGGUUUUGUUUUGUUAUUCCACUCCGAGAAGGGGUGAUGAACAAUUUCCUGCUUUCUUAGUGUAGUUUUGUUUCAUUGACUCUCGUUCCUGCUUUGUUUUAGUUAAUGUGAAGUUUCUGUUUUCGUUUCCUUA